UGACGGGGACCCGCACAAGCGGUGGAGCAUGUGGUUUAAUUCGAAGCAACGCGAAGAACCUUACCAAAUCUUGACAUCCUUUGACAACUCUAGAGAUAGAGCCUUCCCCUUCGGGGGACAAAGUGACGAGGUGGUGCAUGGUUGUCGUCAGCUCGUGUCGUGAGAUGUUGGGUUAAGUCCCGCAACGAGCGCAACCCUUAAGCUUAGUUGCCAUCAUUAAGUUGGGCACU
rnacentral:rRNA from 1 species